rnacentral:rRNA from 1 species
GAUGAACGCUGGCGGCGUGCCUAAUACAUGCAAGUCGAGCGAAUGGAUUAAGAGCUUGCUCUUAUGAAGUUAGCGGCGGACGGGUGAGUAACACGUGGGUAACCUGCCCAUAAGACUGGGAUAACUCCGGGAAACCGGGGCUAAUACCGGAUAACAUUUUGAACCGCAUGGUUCGAAAUUGAAAGGCGGCUUCGGCUGUUACUUAUGGAUGGACUCGCGUCGCAUUAGCUAGUUGGUGAGGUAACGACUCACCAAGGCAACGAUGCGUAGCCGACCUGAGAGGGUGAUCGGCCACACUGGGACUGAGACACGGCCCAGACUCCUACGGGAGGCAGCAGUAGGGAAUCUUCCGCAAUGGACGAAAGUCUGACGGAGCAACGCCGCGUGAGUGAUGAAGGCUUUCGGGUCGUAAAACUCUGUUGUUAGGGAAGAACAAGUGCUAGUUGAAUAAGCUGGCACCUUGACGGUACCUAACCAGAAAGCCACGGCUAACUACGUGCCAGCCGCCGCCGUAA